rnacentral:tRNA from 1 species
GCUCCCAUCGUCUAGUGGCCCAGGACGUCGCCCUCUCACGGCGAAAACAGGGGUUCGAACCCCCUUGGGAGCG